GGACCCGUGGCCUAGCCAGGAUAGGGCAUCGGCCUCCUAAGCCGAGGGUCGGGGGUUCAACUCCCCCCGGGUCCGCCA
rnacentral:tRNA from 1 species